AGACCAUGAGCUUUUUGCACUGCCACCUUCGCUGCUACUUCACAACUAAAUCUUACAAAGCCAAAUCUUGUGUUGGUGAUUCUUCUUCUCUUUUGCGGUAUGAAUACAUCUUUUACAACACCAAACUUCCGAAAGAGAUUAGACAGACCUUUGGGAUCCAAUAAGCAAGGUAGAUUAUAUACACCAGCUAAUGUAGGAAUUUGAUAAAGACUACUUAUGAUUCGAGUUGAAAAUGCCAAAAGAAUAAAAACAAUAAUUAAAAUCAAUGUCAACUCCGGCAAUGAAAAGGGAUAUCAUUAUUAUUAUUUACCAUAAUAUUUAUGUUUAAUUUUUUUUUUUUUUUAAAACUGUGAUGUUAUGUAUAGUGUGCAGAGAAACCAUGGCAGCUACAACCAGCAAAGGAGAAAGAAGUUGCAAUGAGCAGCCGUAGUAGUCUAAGUUCAGAGAUGGUGGAGACUGAACUGUUCAUCGGCCUGCCUCUAAUGCGCUGCUGAUAGCAAAUUUUCAUCCUCCUCCAUAUUGACUGCACAUCAUAUAUACACACUUGAUUCAACAUCAAAUGAUUGCAUUUCAAGGCAUGCAAUAGAUCAAAUGAUGGAACAAUUUGGGUACGGCAAAAAGAUCAUAUGUACUUAUUCGAUCUAGCAGGAUACCGUUAUUGUUACUAAGAAACUGAAAGAAACCUCGAAAACGGAAGAAAGGGCUCGCAUGCAAAUCUCGGGUCUUGAUUGGUAUGCUUAUUGGUAUAUAUUUGUUAGUUUCUUCUAAUAUUGUUGUUUUGUUUCUGGAAACGCCAUUCUGUAAUUCCAUAUAUAUCUGAUGUGUGUUGUACAUUUGUAGUAUGCA